UACGUAGGUGACAAGCGUUGUCCGGAUUUACUGGGCGUAAAGAGCGCGCAGGCGGUCGAUCAAGUCGAGUGUGAAAGCCCCCGGCUCAACUGGGGAGGGUCAUUCGAUACUGAUCGACUCGAAGGCAGGAGAGGGUAGUGGAAUUCCCGGUGUAGUGGUGAAAUGCGUAGAUAUCGGGAGGAACACCGGUGGCGAAGGCGGCAUCCUGGACCGGUAUUGACGCUGAGGAGCGAAAGCCAGGGGAGCAAACGGG
rnacentral:rRNA from 1 species